UACGAAGGGGCGAGCGUUGUUCGGAAUUACUGGGCGUAAAGGGCGCGUAGGCGGAUUGUACAGUCAGGCGUGAAAUUCCCGGCUCAACCUGGGGCUGCGCUUGAGACGUGCGAUCUUGAGUGGGAAGAGGGUCGUGGAAUUCCCAGUGUAGAGGUGAAAUUCGUAGAUAUUGGGAAGAACACCGGUGGCGAAGGCGGCGACCUGGUC
rnacentral:rRNA from 1 species